ensembl:lncRNA
UUCUUAGAGACUUCUGUGUUUGAUUUAUUAUUAUUUCAUCUUCUGUAUUUCACUUAUUACUCUUGCUUGUGUACUUAGCAAACUCCUUUUUCUUGCUUCAACAGUGAUGGAUCGCUGCCUGUCUUCUGAGUUAAACAACAGUUUUAAUGCUUUAGAACUUGCUAGUGAAAAAUAGUAAGUUUGACACAUACAGAAUCCUUGCAUCAACAAAUAAAUAACAAGGUUGCUAGUUAUUCAGAGAAUAUCUAAUGAAUGCUUCAGUUUAGACAGCACAGGAACUGCAGGAUUCUUGUCAGAAUUCAUACAUCGGUAAACUUUAAUGCUGGCUUUAUCCCCACGUGGGCUUCCCAACACAGACCUCCUAGGUACCUAAACCUGGUGGUUGUUUGCACUGUCAUAAACAUCUGGCAGAGAAGUCUGCUGAAGGCGAGCCUUUGCUGUGUGAUGACAAAAUUAAGGGCUGCACAAAUGGAUAAAAUUAAGGUUGCCUGGGUUACCUUCAGAUAUUUCCUGUCUGUUCCUUGCUCAGCUCUGCAAACUUGUUGCUUGUUCAUUUUGAUACAGCAUCUGUAUGUACGUAAGCUUCAGGACUUCAACACCGCAAACAGAGCUGUGUGCUGAAGUGAAAGGUCUUGUCAUGAUCCCAAGGAUAAUUCUCUGACCAUUUUUCAUGUGACAGCUUUCCAACUGCUCUCACCAGGGAUGAAAAGCUGGCGUGCUGUGCUUGGGAGGAUCAGCAUACCGUGAAGCUUCAGACAUGUUUCGGGGCCUGACAGUUGUUUCUCCCUGUCUUUGCUUAGGUUGAGCUGAAGGAAAAGAUUCUAGCUCUUAAAUGCUUGUUAGAGACACCUUUACAAACAAGGUAAUCUUUACUCUGAGUAUCCAGCAAUGGAUGUAGAGAUACAGCGCAGAAGGCCUGAUCCUCCCACGCAUCCUUCUAAAUCCUGUGGGAUUCAAGCAGGUUGGGCAGCAGGCCAGGAUACCUUCUUAGUGAGUUGUCUAAGGUCAAGAUGGAGAUCAUUGGCAAAAUCAGAAGGAGAACUCAAGUACCCACAGCUCAUGUCACACAGAAACUCUGCAAGAUGCUGAGGCCCUCUUAGGGUCAAACAUUUCACGAAGUGCAGUAUCUCUCUGCACCAUGUAUAUGCAUGUGUCAUGCCAAAUUUGAUGAGUUGUUGAGGAUAUUAUGAACAGUAUAUUGCAUUAAAGAAAGGCUUAAAUUUCUGUAGUCUCAUGGAAAACAGUGUUAUGAACCACACAAAAAGAUCAAAUUAAUAGCUUUCUUUCAAGACAAAUAUGAUCUAGAGAACAUAUUUGUUAUUUGUAUAUAUUUUUACGCAUAUUUACAGUAUUUGAAAUUGAAGAUGACAUGCAGGAAUAGGGCUGACAGAUUUUUUCUAACGUGCACGUUUAUAAAGGUGACUAUAGUUCCUCUUUCAUAGGCCCUUCUGACACAGUCACCACUUAGGAAUUGAUUUUGCCUUGCCUGUGUCAGUGUAUAGUGCUUUUUGAUAGAUGUGGCUUCCACAUAUUUAUCAAUUUCUUUUCUUGGAAAAGUAGGGUUGAUACUGCGGUCAAGAAAAAAUGAAGACAAUAUAACACGUGGCCAUCUUAGUAGGAGUUUUAGUAUUGCAUUUGGUGACUUGACUUUAGUUAGUUAUUUAAAUAGUAAGUUAGUUUAGGUUUUAUAUACUAUACAUCAAGAAAAUCCUUUCCAAAAACUAAAUCAUAAUAAUAAUUAAAAAAAAAAAAAACCAACUCUGUGUAAAUGCUGGAUAUAAGUUAGACUGUGACUUUAUAUUCCUGUGACCAAUCAUACACUGGAGGAAAUAAUUCACUG